rnacentral:rRNA from 1 species
UUGGACGGAACCGCAAGGUUCAGUGGCGAACGGCUGAGUAACACGUGAGUGACCUGUCCUGGUGAGGGGGAUAGCCGCUCGAAAGAGUGGGUAAUACCGCGUACGAUGUCUGGGGGGUGACUUCAGACAUGAAAGCAGAGAUGCGCACUGGGAGGGGCUCGCGGCCCAUCAGGUAGUUGGUGAGGUAACGGCUCACCAAGCCGAUGACGGGUAGCAGGUCUGAGAGGAUGAUCAGCCAGACUGGGACUGAGAUACGGCCCAGACUCCUACGGGGGGGCAGCAGUGAGGAAUAUUGCACAAUGGGGGGAACCCUGAUGCAGCAACGCCGCGUGGGUGAUGAAGGCUUUCGAGUUGUAAAACCCUUUACUGUGGGAUGAGUAAGGACAGUACCACAGCAACAAGUCUCGGCUAACUACGUGCCAGCAGCCGCGGUGAGACGUAGGAGGCGAGCGUUAUCCGGAUUCACUGGGCGUAAAGGGCAAGUAGGCGGUUGUUCAAGUUGGGCGUGACAGAUCUCGGCUUAACUGAGAAAGGUCGUCCAAUACUGAGCGACUAGAGGGCAGGAGAGGAAAGUGGAACUCCCGAUGUAGCGGUGGAAUGCUCAGAUAUCGGGAAGAACACCAGUGGCGAAGGCGGCUUUCUGGCCUGCACCUGACGCUGAGAGGCGAAAGCUAGGGUAGCAAACGGGCUUAGAUACCCGGUAGUCCUAGCUGUAACGUUGGAUACUAGGUAUGGUGGUCAGGNCAUCAGUGCCGAAGCAACGCGUUAAUAUCCCGCCUGGGGACUACCACCCNAGGUNAAACUCAAGGANUGACGGGGACCGCACAA